rnacentral:lncRNA from 1 species
UGCUAAUCGUCGCGGAGGAAGUAAGUAUACCACUGUUAUCUGACACACUUUGGAAUCAGAAAAAAUGUUUGAUUAAGCAGAGUGCCGUUAUACUUAGUUUUUUUCUUCAAGGAUAGGCAUUAAUGACCAUAAAAAUUUGAUGGUUAAGCAGGAUGUUGGAAUACUCAGGUGAUGGGAUUAGGCAAGUUUCACUGUUUACUGUUUCAGUUCCUGGUCAGGGUUGGUUAAAGUAUGUUGUGGACAUUAUGGAAAGGUGAACAAGGGGCAUAUUUUUUUUCAAGUACCAGGGCAGAGGGAUGCAUUCUAAAGGGAUUGACAGUCAUUUAAAUUUUAAUGAUAGAAAAUUGAAUAAAUUGUAAUAUGUAAAUUUUUUUUUUUUCUUCAAUAUUUCCAUUACUUUAAUUCAAAGACUAAAAACUUUGUUCAAUAUUUCUAUCACUAAAUUUUUAUGACUGUGGGGUUGUACACAGUCCGAUUCUAAUGUGCCUGCUAGCAAGGACACUGCUUGCCAUCUAGGUAGGUUCCCUUCCCAUGAUACCUAGAUUUGGUUUUCAGUUCUCUCCCUUUUCAUCUGGGUAGGUUCCCUUCCCAUGAUGCCUAUAUUUGGUUUUCAGUUAUCUCCCUUUUCAUCUAGGUAGGUUCUCUCCCAUUAUGCCUAGAUUUGGUUUUCAGUUAUCUCCCUUGUCAUCUAGGUAGGUUCCCUUCCCAUGAUGCUUUGAUUUGGUUUUUAGUUAUCUCCCUUGUCAUCUAGGUAGUUUCCCUUCCCAUGAUACCUAGAUUGGGUUUUCAGUAAUCUCCCUUUUCAUCUGGGUAGGUUCCCUUCCCAUGAUACCUAGAUUGGGUUUUCAGUUAUCUCCCUUUUCAUCUUCAGUUGGUAGGUUCCCUUCCCAUGAUACCUAGAUUUGGUUUUCAGUUCUCUCCCUUUUCAUCUGGGUAGGUUCUCCCACGAUGCCUAGAUUUGGUUUUCAGUUAUCCUUUUCAUCUAGAGUUUCCCUUCCCAUGAUACCUAGAUUUGGUUUUCAGUCUAGGUAGUUUCCCUUCCCAUGAUACCUAGAUUUGGUUUCCAGUUAUCUCCCUUUUCAUCUUGGUAGGUUCUCUUCCCAUGAUACCUAGAUUUGGUUUCAGUUAUCUCCCUUUUCAUCUGGGUAGGGUUCCUUCCCAUGAUUCGUCUGCCUUUAACAAAGCUUGUUAUUUUCAAGAAAAGUGCUUCUGAACAUCCUAGAAUCUUAUAACAAGUGUUCUGUAAAUAUUUUGUUUAUUACCUGUGAACACUUCAGACAAAUGCAGUAUAGAUUUAUGAUUCAGAUUUUAAUGUUUAAAUAAUUAAUUUUUACUUUCUCUACAGAUAUUCAAGAUUAACCACCACUUAAGACAUGGUAUAUAUUAAUUCUGAACUUGCACUAUUUCCUACAAUCCUACACUAUAACUGUUUAGCACUUUCCCCCAUGCAUAGAAUGAUGUCAAAUAAAUUUACGAUGAUGAUGGACUUAUCAUCUUCAAUGGGUUUUUUUUCAAUUCGAUGAUGUUAAUUUACCAAAUGUUUUCUUUUUAUGAUUUCUAUAUUUUGUCACAUCCAAACCUUUCAUUGCUGACUUUGCUCACUGUACAAAUUUUAUAAGAAAUUAUGUGCUUAUAUUUUCACUCUGAUGGAUAAUUUGAAAUUAUACCUUGUUAUAUUUAUAAUUAAACAUGUUGAACUUUAAUCUGAUUAAAAUAUUGAUUUUGUUUCUAAAAUUUUUGUGCUAUUUUCACAUUUCUUGAUAGUUGUGAGCAAAAUUCUUCUCCUCACUAGUGAAAAAUUUAUUCUCUGCAAAUGAUUGGUCCAAAAUAAAUUAGGACGUCAAAUUUUCUUGAUUUCUUCUGAAAUUGCUUAUUUUGAAGCCAUGAAAAUAGGCAACCAUGCCUGAUGAUGUCAGAUAUAAAGAACACAACUUGCUGCAAAUCUUUAAAAAAGGAGGGAUACAAAUUAUUAGAGAAACAGAUACCACCAGUGACAAUAACUCGUGUAUUGCAGCACAGAGUCCUUACCAUGUGGUUUUCCUCCACUUUCACUUUUUUCCCAAAUUUUCAUCCACUUCCCACAAAUUUUACAAAUAUUUCAGGUUUUGGACCAGUUUUGCACACACUGUGGAAAUAUGUUGUUGUAAACCAUUAUUUCAUGUCUUUCUUUUAGUGCAGCAUUUUAAAAAUUCACAUCAGAAAGCCUCGUGAAUAGGAUUUUAAAAAUUACUAUUGAAUACAAAUUAUUUUCCUUGUUUUGAAGAGUUUUAUAAAUUGACCAUAAACCUACCUAUUCAUGGUAUGGUAUCAAUAUUUCUGACCUGACACUAUGUACUUUUUAUUGCUUAAUUCUUUAGAAUUUAAUAUGCAAUGUAUCUGUUUUUUUCGGGAUUAAUUCCAGGUUAACCCUCAUCAAAGGUCGACCUUUAUAUAUUUAUUUCGUAUCUAGUAUCAUAGAUAGAUGUGUGUCUGUUUCAUAACAGUUUUUUUACUCAAAUUUACUACACGUGCAUAUAGGUCUACGUUGUAGCUAGUCUUUUUACAGACUUUUUACAGACUUGAUGUGAAGCACUACAUUUGGGGACAAGUAAAUAGAAAAACAAAUGUAUUACUUUAAUUACAAGAAUAUCAGAAGCAAAAUGACCAUAAUAAUUUAUAUAUGUUAUAUGUAUAUAGAAGUCGUAAAAGGACCAGCCAGCAAAUUUUAUGUAAGGUGACCUAUGGUAUAAUGUUGUUAAUUUCUGUGUCGUUUGCUCUCUUGUGGAGAGUUGUCUCAUUGGCAAUUAUACCACAUCUUCUUUUUUAUAUUUAUAUGUACCUGUUUGUCAACAACAGACAAUACUGCACAGAUAUGGAAAACAUUAUAAAAGUCUAAAGAUUUGAGCAACAGUAUUGUUGAUACAUAUUUAAGCUGAACAAAUAGCAAUCAUCAGGGUAUACCGGUAUAUAUAAGCAAUGAUUUGUAUAGUAAGAUCGUAUGCUACAAUACAAAUCCUUGAUAUAAGCCUAAACAUAUCUUUGAAAAAACUAGGAUUAAAAAUCAUCAUCCCUCGAAACAGUUCAGUAUUUGUUGAAACUUGAUACUUUUUUGUCAUUAAUGUUCAUAUACUAUAGGUUUUAUUAUCUUUUUAUUACAGAUAUUCAAGAGGAGCCUCAACCUGGUCCAUCGAAUGCUGCUAUAUAACCGUUUUGAUUGGUUCAUUUGAAUUUAUUCUUGAAUGUGAUUGGUGGUUAAUGGACCAAUAGUAUGUUGAAAACAUUAGUGCAUUGUUCACCUUUAAGAUUGUGAUACAAACUUUUAAACAAUAUUUUGAGUACUUAAUAUAUAUAUUUAUGAGAAUGGGUGCAAUAUGAUUGUUUUGAUAUGACUGUGAUGAGAAAGAAUAUAUUUGUUAUAAAACUUUUUGUUUGUAAUUUUUGCAAAAAAUAUGUAUUUGAUCAGUUACAAAGUUAUAAAUUAUUUGUGUACUAACUCUGAUAGUGCCUCUGUAUGAAAAAAAUUAUAUCAACUUACAAAUUAAUACCUUGUAAGACUCUUGUAAUCAUUCGAUUCAAAGACUGAAUUCAUUUGAUUUUUUUGUGGAUAUCAAUGUUGGGUGAUUUUAGAAUAUAAAAAUUUAACCGUUUAAUGGAUAUUUGAUUUCAUAUUUUUUUUAAAUGAGAUUACAUAUUUUUUCGACAUACUAUUUUCGACAUACUAUAAGUUUAUACUGAAAUAAUAACGACUGGUUUAUUUUACAAUCAGAGG